CACGUAAGAAUUUACCUUUAGGAGGGGGACAACAAUCGGAAACGGCUGCUAAUACCCCAUAUGCUUUCGAGUGAAAUGGAUUUUCCGCCUAGAGAGAAGCUUGCGGCUGAUUAGCUUGUUGGUAGAGUAAUAGCCUACCAAGGCGACGAUCAGUAUCUGGUUUGAGAGGACGAUCAGACACACUGGAACUGAGACACGGUCCAGACUCUUACGGGAGGCAGCAGUAGGGAAUUUUCCGCAAUGGGCGAAAGCCUGACGGAGCAAUACCGCGUGAGGGAUGACUGCCUAUGGGUUGUAAAG
rnacentral:rRNA from 1 species